rnacentral:rRNA from 1 species
AGAGUUUGAUCCUGGCUCAGAUUGAACGUUGGCGGCAGGCCUAAAACAUGCAAGUCGAACGGUAACAGCGGAAGCUUGCUUCCGGCUGACGAGUGGCGGACGGGUGAGUAACACGUAGGAAUCUACCUAGUAGUGGGGGACAACCCGGGGAAACCCGGGCUAAUACCGCAUACGCUCUACGGAGGAAAGCAGGGGAUCUUCGGACCUUGCGCUAUUGGAGGAGCCUGCAUCGGAUUAGCUAGUUGGUGGGGUAAAGGCCUACCAAGGCGACGAUCCGUAGCUGGUCUGAGAGGACGAUCAGCCACACUGGAACUGAGACACGGUCCAGACUCCUACGGGAGGCAGCAGUUAGGAAUCUUGGGCAAUGGGCGCAAGCCUGACCCAGCCAUGCCGCGUGUGUGAAGAAGGCCUUCGGGUUGUAAGGCACUUUCAGCGGUGAAGAAAAGCUCAGGGCCAAUAUCCUUGAGUCUGACGUAACCGCAGAAGAAGCCCCCU